rnacentral:rRNA from 1 species
GACGAACGCUGGCGGCGUGCUUAACACAUGCAAGUCGAGCGGUAAGGCCCUUUCGGGGGUACACGAGCGGCGAACGGGUGAGUAACACGUGGGUGACCUGCCCUUAGCUCUGGGAUAAGCCUGGGAAACUGGGUCUAAUACCGGAUAUGACUCCAUGACGCAUGUCGUGGGGUGGAAAGCCUUGUGCGGCUAGGGAUGGGCCCGCGGCCUAUCAGCUUGUUGGUGGGGUGAUGGCCUACCAAGGCGACGACGGGUAGCCGGCCUGAGAGGGCGACCGGCCACACUGGGACUGAGACACGGCCCAGACUCCUACGGGAGGCAGCAGUGGGGAAUCUUGCGCAAUGGGCGAAAGCCUGACGCAGCGACGCCGCGUGAGGGAUGACGGCCU